rnacentral:rRNA from 1 species
UACGUAGGGGGCAAGCGUUGUCCGGAUUUAUUGGGCGUAAAGAGCGUGUAGGCGGCUUGGUAGGUCUGCUGUGAAAACUCGAGGCUCAACCUCGAGCUGUCGGCGGAAACCACUUGGCUAGAGUCCGGAAGAGGAGAGUGGAAUUCCUGGUGUAGCGGUGAAAUGCGCAGAUAUCAGGAAGAACACCUAUGGCGAAGGCAGCUCUCUGGGACGGUACUGACGCUGAGACACGAAAGCGUGGGUAGCAAACAGG